rnacentral:tRNA from 1 species
GUUUUAAUAGUUUAAAUUUAAAACUUUGGUCUUGUAAAUCAAAAAUGAAAUAUAUUUCUUAAAACU